UUUUUUUUUUUUUUUUUACCAAAGCUUUCUUUUUUCCAAGAUAAUUUUGUUUUGUGCUGUUCAGUCAAACAUAUUUCUUAUAGGCAAUGAUAGAUGUGACAGAAUUGUCUUCUUCAAAGGGACCUUUUUGAAUUUGAUGAAUUUAUUUUUUCCUAAUUUUUUCCCUUUUUAAAAGUUGGGGGAGGCAAGAACUUAAUCAGCCAAACAAUAAUUUUUAUGUAGACAAUUAACAUUGCAGUGGUUGCAGUGGCUGCACCUGAGCAACAGGUGGGCUCAGGGUUUCAAAGUUUACACAGGUGGUGUCAGGUGUGAUUCAAAGCUUAAAUCUGUGAUUGAUUUUUUUAUUUGUAGCCUGGACUAAAUAUGUGUCAAGUGUCUCUGCCAAUCUUCUUUAAAGUCAAAUUGACUCUCUUAACUAGCCUCUGUUUUGUUUAAAAACACCAAACCAGACCUCCUCAUGCAUUUUUAGAUGUUUAAAACUGUAAAGUGUCCUUAGCACCUGAGCUGAAGUACAUUUACUUCAGUCUUCUUUUGUAGUUCACCGGGUGACUUUGAGCACAAGCUAUCCAAAAUGAUGUGCCUGGCAGGAUAAAGAAGUUUGCAGCUGGAAAAUGAGGGUAUUCAAAUGCAUCCCACUUGGCCUGGGAGCUAGCAGGAAUCUCAGAUUUGGGAUGUGAGCCAGUACCUCACUCGGAAAUCAACAUGGGUAUGGCAACAACAAGGAAGACACACCAAAGAAUUUGUUAUUCCUUUUUUUCCUUUUUCAAACAAAAAAUACCACCAGAGUAACUUUGUCUCUGCUCCCUCAAGGACGUGCUCAUUAUUAUUCUGUGUAGGGUCAGGACAGAAGGAGGUGGGUUAUGCUGUGUUUAACAAUGGGCCUGAAGAACUUAACCAAAUCAGACCAAGGAUAAAGGAAUCGAUAGUAAGAGACAAAUAAAAUAAGCUGUGCUGCCUUCUGAAUAUCACAUUAGUGUCACACGUUUUCCUUUCUGUUUUAUGAAAAAAAAGCUCUGAGCUCAUAUAAAUGUCUGUUUGUUUUUCAGGUGUGGUGGUGCUCAAGAGUUCUCCCUCUUUAAUGGCAGAAAAUUGAAGGCAGACAGAGAUGGAUGGGGGAAAAAGCAGAACACAGAAAUAAGUGGGAUAAAAUUAAGAUUCCAGGGUUGGUAUUAGCUAUGAGGAAAUUAAAAGGGGAUCACCAGAAUUAAAAGACACCCCCUCCUUCUCUUUCCCAAACAAACAAAAAAAAAUGCCACCAGUAAUGACAAAAAACUCUAGUGGCCUGUGCAUUCCAGUAGUUUUAGUGUAGCCAGAGUAUAUUUUUGUAUUUGACAAGGUAUAUUUAAUAAUAAUAGAAAGCAUCUAGGUCCUGUCGAGGAAUAAUUGACCCUAUUGCAAAGAUAGAAAUUAGAAGAGUGUGUAAGUCCUAGGGCAUCAGUGAUAUUGUGGUAUCAUGGCCUAAAUGUAAGUGUAGGCACAGCUUCCUAUUCAGUCAGGACUUCUAUAUAUCCUUAUUCUUCCUGCUUUUUCUUUUGUUGUGCUUUGGAAACUGAAAGGCUUGUGGCUGCUUUCUCUUUGUUAUUCUGAUGAUUUUACCACUGAAAACACAACUUUCUUUUUUAGCUUUUUAAUCCAGUCAUCUAGAUCUGCAUGCAGUGGUUCACAGACAGCAUGGGAAAUUUCAGUUGAAAACAACCCAUGUUGAGUUUUUAAUAUUUUCAUUGAAUUGUCAAACUGGGUGAAUUCAUUGGUGUAUCACCAAGUGACAUUCUGAGAAAAUUCAUAGACAUGUUUAGUUUAAAAUUUCCAGAGAAUAGGGAUAAAAAUGUCUAUUUUUACUGUAUUUUUGCCUUUAUUGCCAUGUAAAAAAGUUCCCAUAUGCCCUAUAGAUCGUAUUUUUUUGCACUAAGUCUAGGUUCCACGAAAAGCAACAAUUUCUGGGUAAACAUGUAAAAGAGUCUUUAUUCCCCCAGUUCAGAAGUUUAAUUCUCUCUCCUGGACAGCCACUUUUAAUUACAGAGCUGCCCAUUUGUUGUGUUCCUGACACAGAAUCCUGCAUAAGGCCAGGAUUUCUGACUUCAUAGAAAUAAAUUUGACACUGCUGACAUGAGAGGCAUCACUGAACUUUGCUGCGAGAGGGUAAAAAAAAAAGUAGUAGGGAAACAAAAUAAUAUACAACGGAUUAAAAGGGUCCAGAACCCCAAAAUGCUCAUGCCUAAUAAAAAAAGGGAUGAGACUACUGAAAAAUACACAAUAAUCUGAUUUCAUGUGGAAGGUCACUCUGCUAGCUAUGUGGUGCAGAAGAGACUGAUUUGAGAGCUGGCUGCCAGAGAGCAGGAAAUAAAUGAAAGGAAACUUCCUGCCCCUACAGCUGCAAACAUCUGAGAAGGAGGAGUGGGGAGCCACCCACUUGUCUAGAAAUGCCUUUCAAGAGUCCUUUUGAAACGGUGCACUUGGGAGAGCAUUUACCUGAACAAGAGCAAGUAAUCCCUAAUUGAACUGCCAGAGGCUGUUUCUUGACAAUGCAAAGCAUUUUACUUUUAGCCUUCCCCUCUUCUGGUGCUGAUUGAUAGAUAGGUUGAUUCUGCAGUUACCACUGUAAUAGAAAUCAUCACAAUACUAUCAAGUACAGUUUGGAGAGGGUUUUCAUUCUCUUUUCAGUAACUUUAUGAAGAUCAAACCAAACCAAUUGGCUUAAAAACACUGGAACAAUUUAGCAAGAAAUCCUUGUUUGCAUAGUUUUGAUUUAUGUAAGUCAUCAAAAAAUUCAAAAGGUAAUAAAUCUUAAAACAAAAGUUAGUUUUAGUGUGAAGUAAAAGCAUCCAAAUACUGAUAUUCAUUGAAAAGUUACUUUGAGUUAGCUACCUAUCAUGGGCCUAGUUGUAUAUGUAUAUAUAAUUUAAUGAAUUUCUUGCUAUCUCUACGUUUCUAUUAAAAAAAAAAAAAAAUACUGCUAUGAUUUAGUUGCUGCUGUGACUAAACCCAUGAGAUUUUAAGGACAAUAUUUCUUCUUUGUGCCUGGGUCUUGAGUAUUGUUGUCAUUAAAACUGCAAGUUGGGAAAAGAAAAUCUGUUCAUGAAGCAAGAGCCAUCCAUCUACAUGCCACACACUCAGAGUCUGGACCAGUUUGCACAGGCUGUUCUCACUGAGCCCAGCCUUGUUCACAUGUGCUGCAUUUAGUAUCAGCUGAUGCGUGAUAUAUAAAUAUGUUGUACUUUUCAAUUCUUUGUCAGACAGCUACAAACUUACUUUAUUAAUUUUAAUGUUAUUACAAGAAUGCUGUAUGUGGACCUUUUGUUGACUUUGUUCAUUGCUUUCACAGCAAGACUCUUCAUGGAAAUCAUUAAAGACUCAAUGAAUCUUACAGAUACCAUAAUGUGAGUAUGUUCUCAUCUUUCUUCCCAAAGGUGGUGGCCCCUGCUGAGUAUGUAAACAGAAAUGCAACCAAGUGUUGGCUACAAGAAAUGAUGAAAUAAAUUGUUUAAACAGCACCAGGAGUUUGGGUGAACCAGACUUUUUUUCUGGCACUGAUGUCUUUUCUGGGUUCUAUAAAAGGAAAACUCUACAGCAAUUAAGAAAUCUCUUAAACAAGAAAUCUCUUCAGCCUUCUCCUUUUAAUAACUAAUGAUUUACAUAUUUUUAAAAUUGUUUCUCUACUUUGCACUUGAGCACACAGAAUAGGUAGUGAUGGUAACAUAUAUGGUACUGAGGAAUCAAUCAAUGUGUGAUAAAAAUAUACAACUGCAGCUGCAAAUGCUGGAAUCACUGCUGCUCUGAUGCCUGUUCUUAUCUGUAAGUACUGGAGGAGGAGUUACAUUUCAUCUGUUGUCCAUGAACUGACAGGGGAAUAGAAAUGAGAAAAAUUCAGCAGCUUGUCCACAAAAAGAAAAUCCUGGGUAAAACCUGUGAUAGAUUUAAAGCUUUUAAUGUCCUUCACCCCAGCACUGCUUUUGGUGAAUUUGCUGUUCCCAGGGAGAUCUGUGUAGCCAUUUCUCUCUAUCAUUUAAAAAACCUUUCUCUGAAGAACUAAGGUUUUAUCCAGCAAUUAUUGCAGGUUAAAAAACAAAAUUUAAAAAAAAUCCCAAAGCCUACAUUGUUUUAUGUAUCUACUUUAUUAUUAUUUUUAAAGAAAUCCACUAAAUAUCUCACCUGAAUUUCUUCAAAAUGCUGAUCUACUGCACCCCUAGAAAGGGGAAGUUUUUAGUAUUUAAGGCCACCUCUCUCUUCAAUUUGAUUGGUGAUUUCUGCUUUUAUUUAUGAAUCACACUCACUCCCCAUCCCUAUGUAAGAUGGGAUCAAUCUCAUCCCAAAAUUUGACACAAUCCUGGCAAUGAUUGAGGUGAUUAGUCCUAGCCAUCAGUUUUACCCUUCAGAAUAAAAUGUGGCAAGUGAAUAAAGCCUGAUGGCAUGGCUGUGCAAAAUUUCAUUUAACAGCUCAUUGCAGGCAGGCCAAGUUGGAUUGCCAAAUAUAUCAAAUCACUUUUAUAGAUCUAAGCUGUCUACCUCCUGAUUUUCUUAAUCGUAAAUGGUAUAACAGAUAUUGCUAUGGUUUUCCCAUGCAUUGUAAAAGGAAAGUGUUUCAAAUAAGGAGCAGAGCAAGCUGAUUUGUUUGGUUAAGUUUACAGGUAUAGGUUGUAUGUACUCCAGAUGUUUGCACACAUUCCCAGAGUCCUAGGGCCCUUUGUUUCUCCUGAAUCCAUGCUGAACACUCCAAACACAUCCAGUCAGUAGGCAGUUGUUGUCAGUGAGUUACUAAAAGGCCUCGUCUGUUAUAUUUAUGUACUUUUCAUCCCAGAGUGAAUAGUUUUUGCUGUGUUGUUUCCAAUUCCAGGUACAAGGAAAUAUGCCAGAGUACAAGCUGCUUGCUUUGUUUACAGCUACCUUUUUGGUUCUGAUUUUUAGUGCAUGGGAUGACAAAAUGUGUCUGUUCCUCUCUUCCUGGCAUGGAAGUUUUACCUGGAUUUUUACCAUAGAUCUGAUCCCUGUAUCUAUAAUAAUACAUAGGUAUUUUUGCCUUGUCUUUUGAUCUCUACACACUUCACACACAUGUUCUGGGAGGAAAGGAGUUGCUGCUAUCCCUGUCUGAAAGACAAGGAGAUGAAGCAUGGAGAAGGAAAAUUACUUCUUUAAGAUCCCACACAAAGCUCAUGAACUAUUGCCCCUUUAGCUGAACCAAGACAAUUAGGUCUCAGAAAUGCAACAAAUGUUGUGGAAUGAAAACAUUUGUUACAGAAGGAUAUCUCCAGUGUAUCCUAUUUAGGAAAAGGCAGGCCUGUUGGUGGCUGUGUGUAUUCAUCCUGGCAUCAUGCUUUCAGAGGAAGAAAAACAGGAAGAAAUGUGUUGUGGAGUGCAUUCAUGUUCCUCUAAAUGGCACAGCAGUCCUGGGCUCCAUGCUUUUGUCUCAGAGAGUUGCCAGUAAAACAGGUAAAACAGAAUUCCAUUCUGAAGCAUUUCAGCUGCCUGUAUCACUGGCAAUGAGGCUGAAAGCCAGAACUCUUUUGUAACGAUGUGAGAAAUGAUGCCUUCAGCCCCUCCAGUAUAAACUUCCCCUAUGAAGUAAGUGUAAGCUUCUCCAGCAAAAUCACUUCAAUUAGAGGAUGUCAGCAUGCAUGUCAAAUCAGCUCCAUCUUGAACUUCCAGGUAGGAAUAGCCUUCAGGAGGCAGCUUAAUUGCUACUGUUUCACAGUGUGUGGCUGGGAGUUGGCAGUGUUUGACUAGGUAAGCUGUAUUAAAAAUUGCUUACAACAGAGAUAUUUGGGAAAGUCAUGAACUAUUUGGCAACAUAAUGGAAACAGAGAACAAGUUACUGAAUUAUGGCUUAAUUUCAAACUGUUUUCUAGUGAUAGGUUUGAAGAAACCUUCUCAGCAGAAAAAAGCCCAAGGGAUUAGGGAGAUGAUGUCAGCCUAGGAAAAAAAAUGAAAUUGGUAGAGGUUUGCUUGUUUUUUCUUUUUGUCUUAAGAAAAUAAUACCAGACAAAUACUAUUGCUUUCCAGCUUCACACCCCAGUGAAACAGCACAUUUCUUUUCAUGUCAGAUGACAUUUUCUGUUAAGCCCAUGACAGUUUAAUUUCAGUUAACCACUGCUAACAGCAAGAACACACAAAGAAAGGAGACAGUCCCACAGUUAUAGGCUGUAUAUGUAAAUUAAGUAAUCCAUUGUGUUGGGUCAUUGCGGAGGUUGUUGAUUAUUAAAAACUGGAAAAAAAAGGUUCUUCCCCCAUUCUUGUGACAACCUUUCUGCCUGACUGACACUUGUAAAACAUUUUGUCUAUAGAUAUGCAAAACUACCUGAGCUUGCAAUAAAUUGAAAUGGUGGAAGAAUGAAAUAUUAAGCCAUAAUUUUGUUGUUGAUUCAGUAUUCCAAGUGUAUGUCUGUAAACUCUGUUCUGAGGUUUAACUGUCUUUUUAAUGUCCCUUUCAUUUUGUUCAUUUUCAGAUGAUAACAUUAACAGAGUUGUGUUAUGUAAACACAUUGUAGUUACCUUCUUAUUGUUUUUGGAGGUGGAUAGGAUAUUCUGUAUGGUGCUAGAAAACAGGAGAUUCUGGAAUGCAACAAACUCCUGAAAAUACUCUUGUGCUAUAGGAAUGGUCAAUUUUUACAGCUUUUUAAUUGCUCUCUAUAAUUUUAAACUUUAUCCAAUAUCCAUCUUAUAGAAAUGUCAGUAACUGUCCUCUCUACUUACAGGUAGAGAUGAGCACAGUUUCUUCCUGAAAUCCUGUCAGUGUGAGCUCCUCUGUAACUUCCAAGAGUCUUAUUGUUUAAAAGUAUCUGUCAAGACCUGUAAUAAUUUAUCAUUAUUACCAAAUUUAUCAUUAUGACCAAUUAUCAUACUACCAAAAAACAUACAGAUAAUUUCCACCAAUAUCCAAUAUAGAACAAAAUAGGGAUACUGUAGGCUGAUUUGGUUUUGUUGCUGAUCAUGAUUCCAUAAAUACUCUGUAAUUUGCCCUUACACAAAGAAAUUUUAAUAUACAAUUUCUCAAUAGGUUAAUGUAAGAUAAUGAAUUUCUGCUGGGAAACAUCAUUAUUUAUAGAUAAGGAAAGGAAAAGUUUCCAUGUGCAAAAUUAAGAAAAAGGAGGGUGGAUGAAGGAAAGGAACAGAGAAGACGAAUCAAAGUGAAUCCUAGAACCCUGCACCUCUAUCAGGACUUUAUUUUCUCUCAGUUGGACAAAACCUGUCUGUAUUUAUUUCAUGGGGCUGUGU